UCGUAUGCCUGAUUAUUCUGUCCUACAUACUGUUUAUCUUACUCUGUUUAUUUUCUGUCUCCUCUCUGAAUAUACUGUUUUAUGUGUGCUUCAUAUCUAUUCUAGUGUGAUCUAGACAUAGCAUGUGCUUGGUUCAUUUACAACGUACUGACAAUCUUAAUAAGGAUCAAGCGCAUCUCGACUAGCUUGUUUUUCCUAGAACACUUCUGAAAGACUCCCAGAACAAACUAUAGAAGCAAUUAGGAAAAUGAUAAGAAACUGCAAACAUGGAUUAAGACUUUUUCUUUUUAGAUGGAGACUGUUUCAACGUGAAUUACAGUUUUGGAUAUUGGAGAUGAUGGUCUCUUUUUUUUCUUUGUUUUUCUUCUGUUUUUAUUUUAAUAGAUAACCCAAAACUGAAAUACUUGGUGCAUCUUAUCAUAUUUGUUACUUAUAAAACCUUGGACUAAGGAUAAAGCUGGUGUUAAAAAUUUUAUUAAGGCUCCAUUUGUUUUGACGUAAAACUUUUUCAGGUAAAAUGGUUAUGAUUUACUUAUUUUCUGUUGUUUGGUUGCCAUCUUGAAAACAUUUUCUAGGGAAAAAGAUUUUUGAAAACAACAAUAAGCUACCCACCUGAAUGUUAGUUGAUAAAUCGCAGCAACCCAAUACUUUAGCACACCCAAGUAACUUGGGUAUUUCAUCAAAAAUCUUAAAGGGCAAAUUACAAAGACCUCUCCUGACAAUUAUCAAAAUUACAGCCAUUCAUGCUUUGCUUUGCUUUACUAGUUACCGCAAAUGCAGGUUAUCCAUUCAUGUUGCUCUGUAUUGUGCAGUGCCUUUAGAAAAUGGUCCAGAUCACUUCUAUAAGGAGCUCAUUACAAUCAACACAAUCUGAUUUUAGCAGAAUUUGGGAGAUUUGUACUUAUUCCAAUUAUGAAAAAAUUAACAAUGACUAGAGGAGAGGAUAUAAAUCCGACUAAUGGGUGAUAAGAAAACAUGGGGUAAAUUGACAGUCUUAUCACCAUACUUCAUUUCUUUUUUCUUUCCAUCACAAAAACAAUCUCUCUCAACCCCCAAUCCUAAAGCACAUACAAUGGCAAUAUCCCAAUUACUUAAUAUAGAAUUACAUAAACUCAGGCACAGUAGAAGAGCCAUCGUAACCAUUUCAUAAAGACAUUAUGGAUGAGAGAAGGACAUGAAUAAAUUUCCCAAGUUGGUUCUAAUGAGGGAAGUCUUGAAAGGUAUUCCUUGGUUGGUUAGGAUCAUGCCUAUGCAAGUAUCCAAUAGUUGAGCUAAAUAGGAAACCCAAAAUGUCAACAACAUAAAUUAUAAGUUCCUAAAAUCACUAAACGGGAGAUGUAUGCAAUAAAUAAACCAGUCUUUAAACCACAUGUAUGUCUCAUCACAAAAAUGGUGAGACAUCAAACAACUUUUUUAGCUUAGCUAGUCCAUUGGAGUUUUUCAUAGAGCUGUUACAUGGCCAACAUUUUAACAAGAGUCCCAUUUUAAUUUUUUUGUAUACUUUAACAUAUUUAUUUUUAACUUAGUACAUAGGUGGUCCUCAGUUUUUAAUGUACAAGCUUGGUGAUACCAUGAAAUGGUGAGUUUAGUCAACAUAAUGGCCUUUUAGCGACCAAUUUUUUGGUCGGCAAAGGUGUUAUUUCUUGUAUUGUAGAUUAGAUGCAUCUAAAAAAAAUUGACCAAAAUAUUUUUAAAAAUUCAUCAAAAAUAAAAAAAUACGAACUGAAAACUCAAAAUCCCAUUUUGAAAACGGGAUAAGCAAACAGAUUUCAUUUUAUGCUUUCUUAUAAACCAAACAGAGUUGUGGUGAUUGUUUUAUCUAUGUUGUUUGGUUUUCUAUCUUCAGAUUUUCGAGUACUGGUCUCUCUUGAUUAGGGAAAUGCCAUGCACUUCAUAACAAUAUUAUAAAAUUUUGUAACAUAAUGCUAUAACUUUUCUCACCACAAAAAAAAAUGACUUUUUCCAAACCACAAAAAGUAUAACUUUUACUUCAAGAACCUCUUUGGUUGGUGCACCCUCUGCUGUAGGCCUUGAUGCUCUGAUGUAUCAAUAGCUGAUAUUCUAAUCACUAAAUUUCCUAUUUUUAACUUUUACCCCAAAUUGGCAUAACAUGCCACAAAAUUAGUAACUUUCACCACAAAAAAAAUAAUAACUUUCUUACAAUGUGUCCCUUUUCAGAGGUGUACACUAUGGAUUUCCUCCUUGUUUAUUUAUCUAUACUAUCUAUCCGUUCUAAUUUGUGAACCUGACAAUGUUUUAUCAGUCCCCGGAGUUGUAUGUUUUUGAUGAUAGGACUUUUUUUUUUAGCUAGUCAAUGAUUACUCUCUGUUUGACGAGAUCUUUUUAACGUGUUUGAUAUGUAUGUAUUGUUGUUUUGUUCAAUUUGUUUAGAUAUGGAUGGAGUAUAGUUUUUUGUGUGAACCAUGUUUCAGAGCACUUUAGAAUUAUAAAUUUGUAAUUGCCUUGUGAUUGUAAAAGGGGAGCAAAAAAAAAUUAUGACAGUCAUCUUAUCAUUCUUGUCAUUUGGGUGUCCAGAAUAUUCCUUGUAAAUAUUCUUUAACUUGUGUGAUAUAUAUACCAGAUGUUAUAUUGACAGAUAGCCAAUAUGAAGAGUUGUAAUAAGUUUUGAACUUGCCUUCUCCAAGUACGAAAUUUAGAAGAUUCAUAUUCUGGAGCUUGCAGCUAUCUAAAGAUUUUUGUUUACUCGUCUGUUUCUAUUGUUGCCAAUUAUGGUUUUCAAGUUUAUUUUUUUCGCUCUAGCUAGAAUGUUUUCACGUAGUAUCUUCUGAUAUAUAAAAAUGUCUACUGUUUAUUCUUGAAAUGUCAGCAUAUGCAUAGAUCUAAGUGCUUCGUGUUAAAAUUAAUGUAGAAUCAAGGGCAUUUAAGUCAUUCUAUAUUGUCUUUAAAAUUAUGAACUGUUUCAUUUAUCAAAUUGUUGUUAAUUAUAUGCAUGAGAACUCCCUAUUGUUCAUGAGGGAUUUAGAGAGGUUUCUUUCUGAAAUCAAUUGGCAAACUUUGUGGCUUUUUCGUUUGAAAGCUAUAACCAUGUGAUGUUCAAACAACAUCUGCCAUGUGUGCUUGAGAUGUAGAUACAUACUUCUUAAUAUAUUUCGGCAAUGAAAUUAUUAACGGUGGACAGCUGAAAUCAGUGGUGCAAUACUAAGAGACUAAUAUUCUGUUUGCUUUAACUCUUCAAGUGCUGCCAUUCAAAAUUUUGCUUAGCAUAAUGAUGUAUAAUAUAAAUUUACUCCACUUGUCGGGUCCAAUUCUUCUUGGGGAUUAUCAUUUGGUGGAGAAACUUGCCAAUUUUGACAGGGAGCGUAUCCCAAAACGUGUUGUCCAUGCAAGCAAGGCCAGUGCAAAGGGUUUUUUUGAGGUCACCCAUGAUACCCCUGCAGCCUAUGGGCCGCUUGGUCUUGAAUAAGAACAUUGAUAACUUCUUUGCAGAGAAUGAGCAGCGUGCAUUUUGCCCUACUAUCAUCGUACCUGGUGUCUACUAUUCAGAUGAUAAGCUGUUUCAAACUCGGAUAUUCUCCUAUGCUGAUACCCAGAGGCACCGUCUUGGACCUAACUAUCUGCAGCUCCCCGCUAAAGCUCCCAAGUGUGCUCAUCACAACAAUCACCAUGAGGGUCUCAUGAAUUUCAUGCAUAGGGAUGUGGAGGUGACAUUCUCUAGUGAAUUUUCUCUUUCGUGCAAGUACUGGGAAAGCUAGUAGAAGUAGCAAAAGCACAAUUUUCACGCGAUUACAGUGAUCACCUUGCUCUUGUUCGGGCUUAUGAGGCCUAGAAAGAAGCUGAAAGAGACGUAGCUAGAUAUGAAUACUGUCGGAAGAAUUUUGUUUCUGCUCAAUCAAUGAAAGCUAUUGAUGCUCUGUGAAGGGAGUUCUACUCUUCACUUAAGGAAUAUGUUUUAAAUUUUAAUGCUAAAUGGAUGUGAAUUGGAUGAUUAUAUAGAUUAUAAGCGGAUUUUUAAUUGAAGGAAUAUGUAGUUUGGAAUUACUUGUGAAUGAAAACUUAUAAUAGUUGUUGACUUUAAUUAAACAGGUUCAGAGUUUGAUGAUUUA